UUGUGCAGGUGGUGAAAUAUUGUCUAAGUGACGAGCAUAGGCUAGAUACCACACGAUACUCAUCACGUGUGAACAACACCCUACUGUCCUCAAACCCACAAUGCAGUUGCAACAAUACCCUAUAAUGGCACACCUACCCUCUUGAGUCCUGUCAAGUGUUAUAAAAACAAAAUAUAUUUUUCUUGAAAUGUGCCGAGAUUUUAUUUUGCCUCUAAUUAAAAUUGGGGCUUCUCCUGUCACGAUUAACGUGAACUUCUCGUUACUAAUAUACUUAAACUUUAAAAUAAACUAAACAUUGUCCAUAAAAAUAUUAAACCUAAAAAUAAAACCUUACUUGCUAAUAUAAACACUACUUACUUAAACUAUAAACUAUACAUAAUUAAAUACUAAAUAAAACUAAACAUAAUACUAACUUUCAAACAAAAUCCUAAUCCAUACGUCAUUUAAAUGUGCAUCGAAAUGUUACUGCGCUGUUCUCGCUAUUAAAAUCGUACGGGUUAUUUGGUGUUUUGUUUACCGCGUCUCAAAGUAAAAAACUGCCGUGAGGAUCGCACCGGCGGCGCCACGCAGACUAGUUCGGCGGCCGAGACGAGUGCGGUCGUCCCUACUGCAUUGAAUGCAAACCUAUUUCACGCUCGACUGAUUUCUCAAGUCGUUCAUAAGCGAUUUACUAUUUUCGCAUACUUCUAUUAGUGCUAGUAACACUUUACUACUGCAAGAUCAGUGUUAAUUAUAAUUAUUUCAACCCCUUGACCGGGGUUUUUAUGCCGGGCAUAAUAUUAAGGGCAGACUACACCACGCUCAAGCAAGGAAGAAGCCAACUGAAGCUGUCAAACACCUACCUCAGGCCAGUGUUGGAACUACUUAACCGUCCCGGUGAUACCAAAUUACUUUUAAUAAGAAAGAACCUGACCCUGAGACUAUUUAAUUUUAGAUUUUUAUUAUUAAGAGAUAAUUGCAGAAGUUCAAUAAACUUAUUAUUUUGUU